UAGGGAAUCUUCGGCAAUGGGGGGAACCCUGACCGAGCAACGCCGCGUGAGUGAAGAAGGUUUUCGGAUCGUAAAGCUCUGUUGUUAAGGAAGAACGAGUGUGAGAAUGGAAAGUUCAUACUGUGACGGUACUUAACCAGAAAGGGACGGCUAACUACGUGCCAUCAGCCGCGGUAAUACGUAGGUCCCGAGCGUUGUCCGGAUUUAUUGGGCGUAAAGCGAGCGCAUGCGGUUAGAUAAGUCUGAAGUUAAAGGCAGUGGCUCAACCAUUGUAGGCUUUGGAAACUGUUUAACUGGAGUGCAGAAGGGGGGAGGGAAAUUCCAUGUGGAGCGGUGAAAUACGUAGAUAUAUGGAGGAACACCGGUGCCGAAAGCGGCUGUCUGGUCUGUAACUGACGCUGAGGCUCGAAAGCGUGGGGAGCGAACAGG
rnacentral:rRNA from 1 species